CCAGUUUGGUUUCCCUGGUACGCCCUGUUGGUUGCUCUUGUUGGUUGCUCUGUUGGUCAGCCCUGUUGUUGCCCUGUUGGUCAGCCCUGUUGGUCAGCCUGUUGGUUGCUCCUGUUGGUUGCUACUUGGUCCUCCUGUUGGUCAGCCCUGUUGGUUGCUCCUGUUGGUUGCUCCUGUUGGUUGCUCUUGUUGGUCAGCCCUGUUGGUUGCUCCUGUUGGUCAGCCCUGUUGGUUGCUCCUGUUGGUCAGCCCUGUUGGUUGCUCCUGUUGGUCAGCCCUGUUGGUCAGCUCUGUUGGUUGUCCUCCUGUUGGUUGCUCC
ensembl:lncRNA